rnacentral:rRNA from 1 species
UAACCUGCCCAAGAGAUCGGGAUAACACCUGGAAACAGAUGCUAAUACCGGAUAACAACAGAUGAUGCCUAUCAACUGUUUAAAAGAUGGUUCUGCUAUCACUCUUGGAUGGACCUGCGGUGCAUUAGCUAGUUGGUAGGGUAACGGCCUACCAAGGCGAUGAUGCAUAGCCGAGUUGAGANACUAUCGGCCACAUUGGGACUGAGACACGGCCCAAACUCCUACGGGAGGCAGCAGCU